AUGGAUCCCGAAGGCAACAGUAAACACGCCAUCCUGGAGCGCUUGCUGGUUGAUAAAAAUGCAGAGCCCGUGAAACUGCCAGUAUCACUAUUGGAGGACAUCACGAACCGUUUCUCUCCUGAUAACCAAAUCGGCAUCGGAGGGUUUGCAGUGGUUUAUAAGGGGAUGGUUGGAAAAUACAUGGUCGCUGUCAAGAAGCUAUCCAACACAUACAAUAUCCGCGAGAAUAAAUUCCACCAAGAGGUUAAAUGCUUGAUGAAGGCUAAGCAUGAGAACAUAGUACGUUUCUUGGGGUAUUGCGCUGAGACACAAGGGGAAAUGGAAGACUACAAGGGAAAGCUUGUCAUGUCAGAUCGACGAAACUGGCUGCUUUGCUCUGAGCAUGUGCCCAAAGGGAGUCUUGAUAAGCAUAUUACCGAUGUAUCUACUGGACUUGAAUGGAGAGAGCGCUAUCGAAUAAUCAGGGGAAUAUGCGAGGGGCUACAUUAUCUUCAUCAGAAGUGCAUUCUUCAUUUGGACCUCAAGCCCGCUAAUAUACUUUUAGAUGAUCACAUGGUACCUAAAAUUACUGAUUUUGGUCUAUCAAGGUGUUUCGAGGAAGGGCAAACAAGUGCAUUCACUGAACAAAUAUUUCUAUCACGGUAA
rnacentral:rRNA from 1 species